UACAUCCUGCCUGGUGCGACAAGUUUUGCAUUGCGUCAACCACAUUUCGAAAAAGGGAAUCGGCGUCCGAAAAUCUAUGUCAGGCCUCGACGGCUUUUACAAGUUAGAGAGCAUUUGCUCCGGUGGAAGACAAAACUUUUCGGCAGAUUACCCACCUGUUUAAUACAGGUUGAAAUCAGCAGAACAACGGCCAAGGCAGGAUAUUU
rnacentral:other from 1 species